rnacentral:rRNA from 1 species
AUUGAACGCUGGCGGCAGGCCUAACACAUGCAAGUCGAGCGGAUGAAGGGAGCUUGCUCCUGGAUUCAGCGGCGGACGGGUGAGUAAUGCCUAGGAAUCUGCCUGGUAGUGGGGGAUAACGUCCGUAAACGGGCGCUAAUACCGCAUACGUCCUGAGGGAGAAAGUGGGGGAUCUUCGGACCUCACGCUAUCAUAUGAGCCUAGGUCGGAUUAGCUAGUUGGUGGGGUAAAGGCCUACCAAGGCGACGAUCCGUAACUGGUCUGAGAGGAUGAUCAGUCACACUGGAACUGAGACACGGUCCAGACUCCUACGGGAGGCAGCAGUGGGGAAUAUUGGACAAUGGGCGAAAGCCUGAUCCAGCAAUGCCGCGUGUGUGAAGAAGGUCUUCGGAUUGUAAAGCACUUUAAGUUGGGAGGAAGGGCAGUAAGUUAAUACCUUGCUGUUUUGACGUUACCAACAGAAUAAGCACCGGCUAACUUCGUG